GCCCAAAAACAGAACAGAAAGUUACAGGCCGUGAGCCUCACUCUGUCACUCCCCAUGAACCCCGCCGCCUCCCUCUCUCCCACGCCGGCGCCGCCCUUGCCUCGCGCCGGCAGCUGCCAAACCCUGCACGGCGGCCUCCUCCCUCCCCUGCACUCCGGUCAACUUCCUCUUCGCACGACGACCUCCUCCCAACCCCACGCUCCGGCCGCCUUCCUCCCCGUGCUUCGGCCUCCUUCCUUCCCCGCCUCCGGUAGCCUUCCUCCCCGCGCUCCGGCCGCCUUCCUCGCCGCGCUCCGGCCUCCUCCCUCCCCCGACUCCGGUCACCUUCCUCCCCGCGCUCCGGCCGCCUUCCUCCCUGAGAUUCGCCCACCUUCCACCCCCGAGAUCCCAGCGCCGGCGCCCAACCCCUCCGUCUGUGAGCUAGGGGACUGGGACGCCCUCCUCGCCGCGGCGUCAUUGCUGGCCGUCAGCGGCGGAAGCGGGGUGGCGGCCGGGACCUUGUCGUGCUCAUCUCCGACUACUGUAAAGUAAAAAUUCAGGUUGGGAAGCUUAUUUUUUCCAAAGUGAUUGUUUGGGUACUACAAGCUCGCACAGAGUGGAAGCAGUUGUUACAACAGGUUUGAAGUAGAUAUUACAAAAGGUUUGAUUUUUCUAGACCAUAUACAAAAACUGUAGCAGUUCUAGUACUUAUGCAGUCGUCUGCCUGUUCUUAACUUUGUUUGAUUUGUUUAGUGAAAUAUAUAAAAGCCAGUAGCAGUACUAUUACUUAUUUUACAACAGGUCAUUGACUAAAACUAUAUCAGUUUAGCAAUGUACUUACAAAAACAAAUCAACAGGUUUGUAGGUUUUUUUCAGCUCAUCUUGUUGGCUUUUUCAGUUCAUAUUGCAGGCUUGUAGGAUUAGAUUCUCAUGUGUGUUUUAGUAUUAGGGAGAAGUAAAACCAUUCAUUUCUUGUAUAUUUAUUAUUACUGUAGUACUAGCUACUCCGUUCUAGUAGUAUAUGGAGUAUGUGAUCAGCUCAUGCAGUAUAUACUAUGCACAAAAUGUCUGUACAGUGCUUUACAUACAAAAAACUUGCUUUCUCUAGACCAUGCAAGCUUCCUCAAAGGAGCUCGUGUCGAACGAGUGCUUUACAUACAAAUGAGUGCAAUGAUGGGCCAUUAGAUUAAUAUCCAGGCACACGCGACAUCUCUGAUCGCGUGGCCGGCGCCAUUAUCUUAAAUUUUUGUUUCUGCACUAAGUUUAAUAAUGUAUUUUGUUCACAAAAUUUUAGUGAAAAGUUAACUUCAUGUUACUCGUGAUCUCGCAACUGUAUGUUCACCUGUGAAGGUAUCUCUCAUUGCUUAUUGUUACAUUAAUUUCCAUGCUAAGAAAGGUUUACAUUAAAAGUAACAUCCAUAUAGGAAAAAUGCUUCUAUUCUUACACAUUUUUUUGGAAAAAAGAGCCCUAGUACUGAUGAGUCGUACUGACAAGGAUGCCGUCUACAAUUCAGAUGAGUCGUACUGACAAGGACAUAAUUAUUGUGCAAAUGGAAAAAACAAAUGUUUUAUAAAGAAAUGUGCUUGAAGCUCAAUUACUAUGGUCUAAAAUUCAAUUACAUCGCUAGUACAUUCAGAAUUGCUAAUUCAAAAAUGAAGUUCCUGUUUCAGGAUUAUGUAAGUUCAAAAUUAUUGUAUGAUGUGUGUGCCAUAGUUAUCUGAACUUCAAUCCUGACUAAUAUUCCAUUAUAGUACUACUGCAUAUUCACUUCUGAUUGCUUCUUGCUACCACUAUUUUUAUCAUGAUUUUGUGUGUCCACCCAGGAGUGUUUUUGUUUCGGUAGGUCAGCUGCUCAACAACAGAAGCAUGUACUGCCCAAUACAUGUAUUACUACUGCGAAGGUUCAGUAUUCAGAACUCAACAAGUUCAACAUUGAUGGUACUGUGCACAUGCGCUAAGCCGUUCUAUAACAUAGCGCUAAGCCGUCCUACGCCGCAGCUCGGGAGGUGAAGGAGCUCCCAUUGGGUUCAUCUUGCAGGUUUCGUUCAAACUUGGCCACCUAGGCCGUUCAACAACACCACCAGAGCCUGUUCAGUUGCUGGCGUUCCUGCAGCUGCAGAUGUGGUGCUGACAGUACUAGGCGUUGGUUGUAUUUGAUCAAAUGCCUAGGAGCUCCCAUGAUUUAGCAAGCACUGUUGCUCAAUUUUCUAGGUUUAGUUCAGUCCAAUUUUUAGAUAGCAUAGUGCAUGCUCAAAAAUAUCAUCGGUUCAUGUUUCAAAUUUAGAUAUAUCACCUAAAAUAAGUUUCAAAAGAAAAAUUAUGUAAGUUCAAUCUGUGUGCUGCUUCAAUUUUGCAAUUCUUGUCGAGUCGUACUAGUACUGAUGAAUAACGAGUUACUGAUAUAACUAUUACCGAUUGAAAAAUGUAGGGGUUGAAGUAAACCCUCUCAAUAUAACUAUUACUGAUAUAUGUGCUCUGCCUGCACAUUUUUUCUUACGUUCUAAAAUUCGUAGAGCUUCAGUCCAACUAUGUUGCUUCUGAGACUUGAAGCGCACUUCCAACUUCAAGCGGACUCCGCAGUCGUCAGUGACGAUGAGACGGUUGCUUGCGUUUGUAGGAGUACUAUGUAGUUGCAGAUUAGCUAUUACUCAGCCAUCAUGGUUUGUAGGAGUACUACCUAGUUGCAGAUUGUAUUAGGUGUUUCUCUUACUAUUUUGCUGCUGAUUCUUGGACACAGUAUACUUUCUCGUAUGUUUCAUCAAAUAGAGCACGUCAAAUCUAAGUCAAUACUCAAUAAUAUCAAUUUUGUGAUGCAUCUUCUUUCCAUUGAGGAACUGUACUCCAAUUUCCAGGUGCAGCGUGACAUGAGCUUUCUGACCCCAUUUCCAGGUGCAGCGCCAGGGAUCUGACUGUGGGGUGCGUGAAGGCACUAGCGACUCUGCUUCCAUUUCUCUUCAGAAGUUCUGCUAACCAAUUAGUCACUGAUAAGAUGACUUUGCUUCCAACUAGCCACUGAAAGUUGUGGCCAUUUAAUGUCACCUUCUACAUUUGAGAUAGGUCAAACUGUAAUCUUCCAAUGUUAUCGUUUGGUAGCUUAAGAUGCUUUAUGUUUUGUUGAUCUACAGAGUGGCUAUCUGAGAGUUAUGUUGAACUUUCUUAUUACAGUUUGAAACUUCUUUAAAAAUCCGAGUUGAUUCUAAAUGUGUUUUCGUCAUCAGUUCUAAAAAUCCCAGAGCAUCCGUCCAACUUUGUAUCAGGAAAUACUAUGUUGCUUCUUUGAUUUCUGUAUGGUUUUGUAUUGA